rnacentral:rRNA from 1 species
UACGAAGGGGGCUAGCGUUGUUCGGAAUCACUGGGCGUAAAGGGCGCGUAGGCGGCCGAUCAAGUCGGGGGUGAAAGCCUGUGGCUUAACCACAGAAUGGCCUCGAUACUGUUUGGCUUGAGACCGGAAGAGGUUAGUGGAACUGCGAGUGUAGAGGUGAAAUUCGUAGAUAUUCGCAAGAACACCAGUGGCGAAGGCGGCUCACUGGCCCGGUACUGACGCUGAGGUGCGAAAGCGUGGGGAGCAACAGG